rnacentral:rRNA from 1 species
GGCUCAGAGCGAACGCUGGCGGCAGGCUUAACACAUGCAAGUCGAACGGUAGCAGGAGAAAGCUUGCUUUCUUGCUGACGAGUGGCGGACGGGUGAGUAAUGCUUGGGAAUCUGGCUUAUGGAGGGGGAUAACUACGGGAAACUGUAGCUAAUACCGCGUAGUGUCGAGAGACGAAAGUGCGGGACCGAAAGGCCGCAUGCCAUGAGAUGAGCCCAAGUGGGAUUAGGUAGUUGGUGGGGUAAGGGCCUACCAAGCCUGCGAUCUCUAGCUGGUCUGAGAGGAUGGCCAGCCACACUGGAACUGAGACACGGUCCAGACUCCUACGGGAGGCAGCAGUGGGGAAUAUUGGACAAUGGGCGAAAGCCUGAUCCAGCAAUGCCGCGUGAGUGAUGAAGGCCUUAGGGUUGUAAAGCUCUUUUACCAGGGAUGAUAAUGACAGUACCUGGAGAAUAAGCUCCGGCUAACUCCGUGCCAGCAGCCGCGGUAAUACGGAGGGAGCUAGCGUUGUUCGGAAUUACUGGGCGUAAAGCGCACGUAGGCGGCUUUUCAAGUCAGGGGUGAAAUCCCGGGGCUCAACCCCGGAACUGCCCUUGAAACUGGAUGGCUAGAAUACUGGAGAGGUGAGUGGAAUUCCGAGUGUAGAGGUGAAAUUCGUAGAUAUUCGGAGGAACACCAGUGGCGAAGGCGGCUCACUGGCUCGAUACUGACGCUGAGGUACGAAAGUGUGGGGAGCAAACAGGAUUAGAUACCCUGGUAGUCCACACCGUAAACGAUGAAUGCCAGUCGUCGGGCAGUAUACUGUUCGGUGACACACCUAACGGAUUAAGCAUUCCGCCUGGGGAGUACGGUCGCAAGAUUAAAACUCAAAGGAAUUGACGG